ACCUUUGUGUAGUAGUGGCAGUAUCAUAGCUAAUUAGGUUAAUCUGAGGCACGAUUAUUGCUAGAUGAAAGCUCUCUCGUUCCACAGUGUUCAGGAGUGUUGGAUUUUAAAAUAUUGCUAAUAUAA
rnacentral:snRNA from 1 species